GUUCAUCUGAGGAAUCCAAAAUAGAAUGGAACACGCGUCUUGAAC
rfam:Schistosoma mattheei strain Denwood, Zambia genome assembly, scaffold: SMTD_scaffold0000742